UCCAGACUCCUACGGGAGGCAGCAGUCGGGAAUAUUGCGCAAUGGAGGAAACUCUGACGCAGUGACGCCGCGUAUAGGAAGAAGGUUUUCGGAUUGUAAACUAUUGUCGUUAGGGAAGGUACAAGACAGUACCUAAGGAGGAAGCCCCGGCUAACUAUGUGCCAGCAGCCGCGGUAAUACAUAGGGGGCAAGCGUUAUCCGGAUUUAUUGGGUGUAAAGGGAGCGUAGACGGCGAUGCAAGCCAGAUGUGAAAGCCCGGGGCUCAACCCCGGGACUGCAUUUGGAACUGUGUGGCUGGAGUGUCGGAGAGGCAGGCGGAAUUCCUAGUGUAGCGGUGAAAUGCGUAGAUAUUAGGAGGAACACCAGUGGCGAAGGCGGCCUGCUGGACGAUGACUGACGUUGAGGCUCGAAAGCGUGGGGAGCAAACAGGAUUAGAUACCCGAGUA
rnacentral:rRNA from 1 species